AGAGUUUGAUCAUGGCUCAGAGCGAACGCUGGCGGCAGGCCUAACACAUGCAAGUCGAGCGCCCCGCAAGGGGAGCGGCAGACGGGUGAGUAACGCGUGGGAACGUACCUUUUGGUUCGGAACAACACAGGGAAACUUGUGCUAAUACCGGAUAAGCCCUUACGGGGAAAGAUUUAUCGCCGAAAGAUCGGCCCGCGUCUGAUUAGCUAGUUGGUGAGGUAAUGGCUCACCAAGGCGACGAUCAGUAGCUGGUCUGAGAGGAUGAUCAGCCACACUGGGACUGAGACACGGCCCAGACUCCUACGGGAGGCAGCAGUGGGGAAUAUUGGACAAUGGGCGCAAGCCUGAUCCAGCCAUGCCGCGUGAGUGAUGAAGGCCCUAGGGUUGUAAAGCUCUUUCGGCGGGGAAGAUAAUGACGGUACCCGCAGAAGAAGCCCCGGCUAACUUCGUGCCAGCAGCGGCGGUAAUUC
rnacentral:rRNA from 1 species